GUUGUCACCGUUAGUCUUUCACUACGAUGACUUAUUGUUGUGUUACCAAAGAAAACAUAAGGCUUGUGUUGUCUUUGGUAACGCACAACACUAAGCCAUCGCAGUUACAGACAACAAAAUGGCAC